rnacentral:lncRNA from 1 species
CCAUGGAUGUCAUUCCGUAUGCACCAAAGGACAUGCUUGUCACCCUUCUUUUUGUAUGUAAGUUGUAUGAAGGUCUUGCCUCCUCUUUGUUCAACCUAACACGAAUUUCACAAAGGAAAUCUACAUAUCAUGUCCCUCAAUAUGUAACAUGCCAGAGUUCGACUUUGGUUAAAACUCAUAAAAAAAACUCCAAUCCAAUUUGGACAUCUUGUUUUCUGAACCUCUCAUUCUAUGUAGACAAAUUUGGCCCUACAUAUGUUGAGUAACCAAUUUGAUUAUAACUGCUAUAUAACCAACCUACCCCUUAGUGAAGCAUCUUGUAACUUUCGGACUCGGGGUGGGGUGCCACCGAUGUUGCAACUUACAUUGACAAAGACUGUUUCAUCUAAGAAUCAUCCACCUGCUUGAUGGUUAGAAUGUUCAUAAUGGCAGAGCAUUACCCAGGUGCAAAACUGAUGGCUGACCUGGACAAAUAAAACAGACGAUGCUUCAUCUCAAUCCCUAGAAACUAGUUUUGUGAGAUGCAUGCAAGUAGUUUCAAUAUACAGUAAAAAACUAAACAUUUGAAUACAGCACCCGAAGAUGCAUAAGCACACAAUGACAUUAUAUAUCUGAUGUCAAGGAUUAUACAUCUAAUAUCAUGGACAUGAGUAAAUUCUGAUACCAAUAAAUCUGGAUGAUAUCAAAGUUGGGUUUCAUAUCUGAGCAAUUUGUUUUUAAUUAUUUGCGGCAAAAGAUGCCCUAAUUCAAAGAUUAAAUUCAGCAUAAACUCUGUAAAAUGCAUGGGAAAUAAAAUUCACAGUUCAGCCUUUUCGGAUCCUAUAAUUAUUAACUGAAACAUCUAUAGCCAGAUUUGCCAUACAAGGUAUUUUGGCGAUUCACCCCUCAACACACAAACAUGGAAAAAGAAGCACACAACUCAAAUCACAUGACUUUUACUUCGGAUAAGAUAUUACUGCUAUUGAUCUUUCUAUGCAAGAGAGGUGCAUAGAGUAGAGGCUGUCAUCUAUCAAAUACCAUGAUAUCUGCAUCAGAAUAACAUUGUAGUGCAUAUGAACAAAAAGGGAGUAAUAGCACAUGAAGGGAAUGGAAUGCACAACAAUGUUAAUUAUAAAACUUAACCCCAAAAGGAAAAAACAAAACAAUAGGCAUGGGCUUGGAAAGAUGACGCGAUAUCCACUAAAUCCCAAAAGAAAAUCUUGCCAUCUUCAGAUCCACUAGUGACAUAGGCGUCGGUGUUUGUGAGGCAACAAUCCAUCUUGUAGGACUGCCCAAAAGGAAAUAAGACGAUAGCAUGAUGAUAACUUGUAAGUCAUUGUAGAAACGAUACCUAAAAGGAGUAGAAAUGAGAAUGACAUGUAUUAGAAAAAUAUGAGAUGAAUGAUCAGAUACUAAAAUGGUUUGCAUAUAAAAAACCUACAUCUAUUAAGAGACAUUUCAUACAACAUUGCUCCCUAGGACACAAAGUAUGUCAUUCAUUAACAUUAGGAUAAUAGUAUGCAAUUAAUAAUAUAUCAUUCACAACUGGAACAAUUUGACAAUACCAUAAAUGGAAGAGUAAACAUUUACAUUGAUCCUCUCCAUAAUGAACUGAAAAUAAGCAGUAUAUAUUGGGAUUCCGAGAAAAAUAGAAAAGUUCAAGUCAACAAUUUGGUAUAUGUUAACAGUCAGUGAUGAAUAAUAAUGACUGGUAAUAUGGACUUCAGGAAAGAAAGAUAUCCCAACUGCAUCAUGCAGAACAUAAUUGAAACAAAAAAGAAGCGUAUGAAAUAUCCAAGACAUAAUUGAAAAAAAUCAGCUAUAACAAACAAAAAAUCUGACUACAGACUUGGAGCCCCAACAAAUCUAACAUUGCAAGUAUGGCCUUUAUAUUCUUGAAGGAGUUCUCUAGUUGACCUCAGACAAAGACAUUGGAAAUAAGAAACAAGUACCUCACAGUUUGUCUUCACUAUUUAAAAUGGAAAAUCACUGAAAAUAUUUAUUUAUAAAGAAGGUGGAGUGCGGAAUCCAAGCAACUUGCUACUACGCACUUACUGUCAUUUGAAGUCAAUAUGCAGUUCACAGGCUGCCCCAACUCAUCAACUUCCCAGGUUAAUAACAACAAGAGGCCCUAGAAAUGAAUCGAAGAGAAAAGAUAUCAAAAUUUCAAAUGAAAGGAGAAAAGCAAUUAUAAAUGAAAAGAGAAAAGCAACACAUAUAUCAGCUAAGGGACUCUGGGGCUCUCACUGGGCCAAGGGUCACUUACCUACCAACAUGAAUGUCAAAAGUGAAAACGGUCCCAUCCACACUCUCCAGCCAGAAUUUCAGUGUUUGUCAAACAAAUAGAAUUACACAUUCUGAAGAAGUGUCUAUUGCCCGGGGCAUCAAAUGUAAUUAUAAUUUAGAAAUUUUGGAGCAAUUCAAAACCCAAGCAUGCUAAUUUUAUGGUAUCGACCAAACAAAAAGAAUGACACGUAAAGUUGCUCAAAACAAAGUAUUCACCUGAAUUGGCUCAGUGCUGUGUGACCGGCAGUCCCAUGCUCUCACUGAACGAUCAUAACCAGAAUUCACCUGAAAUGAAGACCUAUUUUAGUUCCAUUACCUGGCAUUUAAAUUGGUAUAUGCGAUAGCAGAAAAAACUAGCAAUUAUUCAUGAUUAAAACAGCAUAAGAAUUUCACCCAAAACAAUGUAAGAAAAUUCGGCCACCUUGCCGCCUAGACCGCCACCUAGGUGGCCAUUUUCUCAAACCAUCUAGGCAUGAACUAGGCGGUAUACUCCAGGCGGGUGCAUAUAUAUAUAUAGAACAUUUUGUAAAAGAAUAUUUUGUUAAGUGUAACCACAGGGAAAAUAUUUCUGAUUGUCUUCUAAAGACUUCUAUAGUUUAUUUCUUUCAUUAACAAAGCUAUGUUUAACUUUAAAUUCUAAAUGUCUAAAGAACAGUUUUUGGGUUCAUGAGGAUGAUGAUUAGUGACAACCAAGGCUAAUCUUUCCCUAAAUUCAUAUGAAAUGGCCCAAUGUAAUUUCACACAUGGGGCAUCAGAAAAAUUUCCCACUAGUUUGGGCGAUUGGGAAUAUCUCUUCUUUGUGGCUGUAGUUAAAUUUGGAUUGGAGAACCUAAUUUUUAAGAUUUUUGGGGAAACUCAGGAUAAGGCAAAUCUCGACAAAUUAGAAAUGAGGGAUCCUAAUCUCUUAUUUUCUCCAUUUUUGGGUAUGUCUUCUACAAGAGACAAAGGGGUUGUCACACCCCAAAAAUUUACAAUACUGUUAUUCAUGAGAUGUGACAGACAAAACAUAUAUACAUCUAUUGAUAGGACAAAAUUUACAGUGGCGAGGUCUUACAUAGUAAAUAAAGAAAGCUAGCACAACAACAGUAUCUUCCAAGGUUGAUCUUGACUAGCACUCAAAAUGAAUCCGCAGUUAUCCUGAAAAAAAUGUUUACCAUAGUUUGAUGAAUUUGGCUACUCAGUAAGUGAUCAUCAUAAUCCUAAAAAUAAUCAUGAUUGAAAGAUAUCAAUAUUUUCGAAAAUGAGAUCUAUUAACAGAAAUGCAUCAACAGCUUCACUUUCAAUAAAUGCAUAAUUAAGUAUAAUCCGAAUAAUUGAAAUGCUUAUAACACUUUUAACGGCAGUGCAUAAUUCAAAGGAUUUCACAAAAUACCCUACUGGCGUCCCAAGUAGGUCACCUAUAUACCCCAUCAGCGUCCUGAUGAGUCCACUUAAUCCCUAUCGGCGUCCCAGAUAAGUCCACUUAAUCCC